rnacentral:rRNA from 1 species
UUGGAAAGAGGAGUGGCGGACGGGUGAGUAACACGUGGGUAACCUACCCAUCAGAGGGGGAUAACACUUGGAAACAGGUGCUAACACCGCAUAACAGUUUAUGCCGCAUGGCAUAAGAGUGAAAGGCGCUUUCGGGUGUCGCUGAUGGAUGGACCCGCGGUGCAUUAGCUAGUUGGUGAGGUAACGGCUCACCAAGGCCACGAUGCAUAGCCGACCUGAGAGGGUGAUCGGCCACACUGGGACUGAGACACGGCCCAGACUCCUACGGGAGGCAGCAGUAGGGAAUCUUCGGCAAUGGACGAAAGUCUGACCGAGCAACGCCGCGUGAGUGAAGAAGGUUUUCGGAUCGUAAAACUCUGUUGUUAGAGAAGAACAAGGACGUUAGUAACUGAACGUCCCCUGACGGUAUCUAACCAGAAAGCCACGGCUAACUACGUGCCAGCAGCCGCGGUAAUACGUAGGUGGCAAGCGUUGUCCGGA